rnacentral:lncRNA from 1 species
UGGCAACCUUUGAAGAGUCACAUUCCAAAAGGAUAGAAAUCCUGUGAACUCUCAAAACAGAUGAAACACCAGAUUUUUUUAUAUGACAAGGCUUUUGUAUGACUUAUUUUGCAUGCUUUAGCCUGGUGCUUUCUUUAGUAUGGCCUUUCUUUGCUUUCUGCUUGCCAGAGUUCAUUUGCAAGUUGGUCCCACAGCAUCAGCGAGAGGAAACAACAGCACAGUGCCAAGUGGUAGUCCUGCUCUUCUAUUCAGUGGAAGAGUUGUUUGAUUUUGACAAUGCCUGCAAGACAGAAGUAGGAUUUGAUCCUUGAACAUCUACUGCUUUCCCUCUGUCCUCGCUUGAUCAAGUCUUUAAAAACAAGAGUCAGAACUAAUCUGUUCUCCAGCAGGUCCUAAAGGCAGUUGUUGAGGGAGUAGAUAAUACAGUUAAAUCUCCUAAGGUAGCAGGAGCCCCC